CCGUAACUAUAACGGUCCUAAGGUAGCGAAAUUCCUUGUCGGGUAAGUUCCGACCUGCACGAAUGGCGUAAUGAUGGCCAGGCUGUCUCCACCCGAGACUCAGUGAAAUUGAACUCGCUGUGAAGAUGCAGUGUACCCGCGGCAAGACGGAAAGACCCCGUGAACCUUUACUAUAGCUUGACACUGAACACUGGUCCUUGAUGUGUAGGAUAGGUGGGAGGCUUUGAAGUGUGGACGCCAGUCUGCAUGGAGCCAUCCUUGAAAUACCACCCUUUAAUGGCUGGUGUUCUAACGUGGGCCCGUAAUCCGGGUUGCGGACAGUGUCUGGUGGGUAGUUUGACUGGGGCGGUCUCCUCCUAAAGAGUAACGGAGGAGCACGAAGGUCAGCUAAUCCUGGUCGGACAUCAGGAGGUUAGUGCAAUGGCAUAAGCUGGCUUGACUGCGAGCGUGACGGCGCGAGCAGGUGCGAAAGCAGGUCAUAGUGAUCCGGUGGUUCUGAAUGGAAGGGCCAUCGCUCAACGGAUAAAAGGUACUCCGGGGAUAACAGGCUGAUACCGCCCAAGAGUUCAUAUCGACGGCGGUGUUUGGCACCUCGAUGUCGGCUCAUCACAUCCUGGGGCUGAAGUAGGUCCCAAGGGUAUGGCUGUUCGCCAUUUAAAGUGGUACGCGAGCUGGGUUUAGAACGUCGUGAGACAGUUCGGUCCCUAUCUGCCGUGGGCGCUGGAGAAUUGAGGGGGGCUGCUCCUAGUACGAGAGGACCGGAGUGGACGCAUCACUGGUGUUCGGGUUGUCAUGCCAAUGGCAUUGCCCGGUAGCUAAAUGCGGAAGAGAUAAGUGCUGAAAGCAUCUAAGUACGAAACUUGCCCCGAGAUGAGUUCUCCCUGACUCCUUGAGAGUCCUGAAGGAACGUUGAAGACGACGACGUUGAUAGGCCGGGUGUGUAAGCGCAGCGAUGCGUUGAGCUAACCGGUACUAAUGAACCGUGAGGCUUAACCUU
rnacentral:rRNA from 1 species